GACGAACGCUGGCGGCGUGCUUAACACAUGCAAGUCGAACGGAAAGGCCCUGCUUUCGUGGGGUGCUAGCGUGGCGAAGGGGUGUGUAACCCGUGAGUAUCCUGGCCUUGACUUUGGGACAACUUCAGGAAAGUGGGGCUAAUACCGGCUAGGUGCUCCUGAUGCAUGGUGGGGGUUGGAAAGUUUGGGCGGUUGGGGAUGGACUCGGGGCUUAUCAGCUGGUUGGUGGGGUAGUGGCAUACCAAGGCAUUGGAGGGUAGCCGGCCUGAGAGGGUGACCGGCGACAUUGGUACUGAGAUACGGCCCAGACUCGUACGUGAGGCAGCAGUGGGGAAUAUUGCACAAUGGGCGGAAGCCUGAUGCAGCAACGCCGCGUGCGGGAUGACGGCCUUCGGGUGGUAAACCGCUUUCGCCUGUGACGAAGCGUGAGUGACGGUAAUAGGUAAAGAAGCACCGGCUAACUACGUG
rnacentral:rRNA from 1 species